AGUCUGCAACUCGACUACAUGAAGCUGGAAUCGCUAGUAAUCGCGAAUCAGAAUGUCGCGGUGAAUACGUUCCCGGGUCUUGUACACACCGCCCGUCACACCAUGGGAGUCGGUAACGCCCGAAGUCAGUGACCCAACCGCAAGGAGGGAGCUGCCGAAGGCGGGACUGGUAACUGGGGUGAAGUCGUAACAAGGUAUC
rnacentral:rRNA from 1 species